UUUAGUUUUAUUGGGCAUUCGGUGGAUGCCUUGGCAUCAAGAGCUGAUGAAGGACGUUGCGGCCUGCGAUAUGCCUCGGGGAGCUGGCGAGCGAGCGUUAUUAUCCGAGGGUGUCCGAAUGGGGGAACCUAACCUGGGUUGUGCUGGGUUACCAUCAUCUGAACGUGUAUAGGGUGGUGGGGGGAACGCGGGGAAGUGAAACAUCUCAGUACCCGCAGGAAAAGAUAUUCCGUGAGUAGUGGCGAGCGAAAGCGGAGGAGGCUAAACCAGAUGCGUGUGAGAGGCGGCGGCCGUUGCGUGUUUGGUGUUGUGGGGCCAUGUUGGAUCCUUCUGCCGGGGGAUCGCGCCAGUUGUUGUUGGGAGUUGAACAGUCUGGGAAGUCUGACCGUAGAGCGUGAGAGUCGUGUAAGCGGACCGGUUGCUUCUGGUGUGGGUGUGGUGCCCGAGUAGCGCGGGACUCGUGAAAUCUCGUGUGAAUCUGCCAAGACCACUUGGUAAGCCUAAAUACUACUUGAUGACCGAUAGUGCAUAGUACCGUGAGGGAAUGGUGAAAAGUACCCCGGGAGGGGAGUGAAAUAGUACCUGAAACCGUGUGCCUGUAAGCCGUCAGAGCCUUGUGGGGUGAUGGCGUGCCUUUUGAAGAAUGAGCCUGCGAGUUAGUGAUACGUGGCGUGCUUAACCCGUGUGGGGUAUGCGUAGCGAAAGCGAGUCUGAAAGAUGGCGUUUGUCGCGUGUUCUAGACCCGAAGCGGGGUGAUCUACCCAUGGUCAGGUUGAAGCAGAGGUAAGACUGUGUGGAGGACCGAACCCACCAGGGUUGAAAACCUGGGGGAUGAACUGUGGGUAGGGGUGAAAGGCCAAUCAAACUCCGUGAUAGCUGGUUCUCCCCGAAAUGCAUUUAGGUGCAGCGUUGCGUGGUCCCUGGUGGAGGUAGAGCUACUGGAUGGCCGAUGGGCCCUGUGGGUUACUGACGUCAGCCAAACUCCGAAUGCCAUUAGGUGUAGCGCGGCAGUGAGACUGCGGGGGAUAAGCUUCGUAGUCGAGAGGGAAACAGCCCAGAUCAUCAGCUAAGGCCCCUAAGCGUACGCUAAGUGGGAAAGGAUGUGGAGUCGCGGUGACAACCAGGAGGUUGGCUUAGAAGCAGCCAUCCUUGAAAGAGUGCGUAAUAGCUCACUGGUCAAGUGGUUCUGCGCCGACAAUGUAGCGGGGCUCAAGCGUACCGCCGAAGCUGUGGCAACAACACGCGAUGCUGGCGCCAGGAACUGGAGUGCUGGUGUGUUGUUGGGUAGGGGAGCGUCCUGCACGAGGUGAAGCCUGGAGGGAACUUCUGGUGGAUUGUGUGGGAGUGAGAAUGCAGGCAUGAGUAACGAAUCUGCGGUGAGAAUCCGCAGCGCCGAUUGACUAAGGGUUCCAGGGCUAGGUUUAUCCGCCCUGGGUUAGUCGGGUCCUAAGGCGAGGCCGACAGGCGUAGUCGAUGGACAACCAGUUGAUAUUCUGGUACCGCGUUAUGACCGCCCAUGCUGAAGUCAUUGUGCUAACCAAUCUGCCCGUACCCCCGCAUGGCUUUCGGGCUGUGUGGGUGUGUGUGGGUCUUGGGGUCCCGGUGAUUGUAGGCAAGCGUGUUAACAGGGGUGACGCAGACAGGUAGCUGCAGUGCGCCGAUGGUUGUGCGUAUUUAAGGUUGUGGCCCGUCCCCCAGGCAAAUCCGGGGGACAAUGUGGGUGAGAACUGAUGAGGGACACACGCGUGUGUGGACUUGUGGUGAUCCUAAGCUGCCGAGAAAAGCCUCGACGUGAGGGCAUGACGCGCCCGUACCCUAAACCGACUCAGGUGGUCAGGUAGAGUAUACCGAGGCGUUCGAGUGAAUCGUGGUUAAGGAACUCGGCAAAAUUCCUCCGUAACUUCGGGAUAAGGAGGACCCUGUGACUUCCCCGCGCCUUGCGCGCGGUGUGGGGUUGUGGGGUCGCAGAGAAUAGGGAGAAGCGACUGUUUAUCAAAAACACAGGUGCGUGCGAAGCCGUAAGGCGAUGUAUACGCACUGACGCCUGCCCGGUGCUGGAAGGUUAAGAGGAACCGUCAACACCCCUUCGGGGUGUGAAGCGGUGAAUUUAAGCCCCAGUAAACGGCGGUGGUAACUAUAACCAUCCUAAGGUAGCGAAAUUCCUUGUCGGGUAAGUUCCGACCUGCACGAAUGGCGUAA
rnacentral:rRNA from 1 species